UACUGAGUUGAAGUUGGCAUCUCAUGGGAGGAAGGUAGAGCAAUUUGGAAGGCCUGGACUCGAGAUUGAAGGCAUAGUGACUGCUAUAGGAUUAAGUUCUUUGAUUUCAUAUUCAUUGGACACAGGUGACAAGGGACUUUUAUCUGCUUUUGUAGAGAGGUGGCACAAGGAAACUGGUAGUUUCCAUUUACCGGUAAUGAAGGUGAGUAUAACCCUCGAUGAUGUGGCAUACUUGUUACAUCUACCUAAUACAGGUGCCUUCCUUACCGUCGAUGCUCUUGAUGUAGACCAAGUCGUGGAGUUGUUAGUUGAGUUGCUUGGAGUCAGUACACAAGAAGCAAAAGAUGAGACUGAGUAAUACAGAGGACGUAUGUUCGGCUAGCCUGGUUGUGAGACAUUUAUCAUAGCAAAUAUGAUGCAAGAUAGUGGACCCUAGUAGCUCGAACAUAUUUAUUACAUCUAGUAGGUUGCACACUCUUUGCUAACAAGAGUGUCACACACAUCAAUGUGGUAUUCUUAGACGCAUUUCGUGACCUCAACCAAUCUAGAAGCUAUUCAUGGGGAGCAAUUGCACUGGUCCAUAUGUAUGACAAUCUGAAUGAUGCAUCAAAGCAUAAGACAAAACAUCUUGUAGGAUAUAUCACCCUGUUGUAGUGUUGGAUCUACGAGCAUUUCCCUACAAUUGCUUCCAUUUUUGCUGAUGAGGAUUACCAUGAGAGGAAUCCACGUGCUUGUCGAUGGAAGUCUAGGAAGGCAUUGCCAGUGUCGACAUAUCGUAAGCUCUAGGAUAGAUUGAUUCCAGAUGUUGUGUGUUGGAUUCUUGAUGGUGAUCAUCAUGCAUUUAGAGAAUCUGAGCUCAUCUUAUUAUUUUCUGGACAUAUCAGAUGAGGUUCAUCUAUUGUGAGACACCAACCAGAGAGGGUAGUGUGGCAGUUUGGUUAUGUUCAGACCAUUCUCUAUUCCCUGCUGCUCCUUCCUUUUUUGUAUAGGAGAUUGAUGAUAAAUGGCUUCAGUUUUCAGAAUACCUUACACCGAUUGGACAAAUUUGUAGUGCUUCUGAAUAGUGUGCAACAGACUACAUGGAGUGGUUCUAUAGGAUAUCUCACCCCUUCAUGAGUCUGGAAUGGCUUGGGAAGCCUUCUAGACAACCACUCGUGGUGCAUGAUGAUACAUUUAUUGUACCAGAUCCUCAUCAGUAGCCCGUCCACGUAGCAGUUAUGCCUGCUAAUGUAGACAUGCCACGACAUGCAGUGGACGCUUGUCAAAGGAUAAUAGAAAGUUUGGAACACAUGAUCAACAUGAGGAUGGUCACUGUCAGAACUGAAGCAUAUACUUUGACCGAGCAACACCUAAGAUCAGUCAGGGGUAUCAUUGACCAAUGAAAUGUUUAUGUCCGGUCUAGACAUAAGAGGGAUACACAGGACACAUGUAGAUAGUUGGAAUUGAUUAAGUAGUAUAAGAUAUAUGUAUGCAAUAUA